GACGAAAAUAAUGUAAAUAUGGUAAGAAAAUGGUUAAGAGUUUAUUAUUUUUCAUGUUAUAUUAAUGGCUUUCAUGUUACUUAAGAGAACUGCAAUCUAUACAUCAGUGAUCGGCUAGUAAGCCUUUUCUGGGAUCGAUUAGUAGUGUCUCUAUUCUCCACUAGGGGGCUUUCGCGCGUUCUCCUCACUGCAAUAAACUACUGCAUGAGAGACGCAAGUCAUAAUCACUCUCGUGAUUCUUUUCCCCCUGUUUUCAGGUAAAAGUGUUUAAAAGUUGAUAUAUUUCCAAUGUGUACACUGUUAAGAUAUUUAAGAGGUAAUCCUUCAUUGUUUUGUAAGCGUUAAAAGCAUUACAUUGCAGUUUUGUGCACAUAUACGUGGCGGUUUUGAGCUGUGUUUUGUACUGUGUAAUGGCCAUUAAGAUAACGGCAGGAGCUAAAAACACCACGAUUGUCAGCCAUUUUGUCAGGAAACCUGCUCAAGUAUAUGUAUAGUAAGCACUUUAGUAUUUCGGUUUAUUAUUUAGUGUUUUUCUUCCACCAUGUGACAUUUAGCAGUACAGAAUGUGAAACGUUUCUGCUCAUUUUCACUGCAAUAAACUACUGCAUGAGAGACGCAAGUCAUAAUCACUCUCGUGAUUCUUUUCCCCCUGUUUUCAGGGGUGUAACAUUUGGAGGCACCGCUGGGAUAGCUGCUUAGAUGUCCGGUGUCCACAAUCUGCACAUCGUAGUCCAAGCCAGCUAAAUCCCCCCCACUACAACCCAGGCAGACUGCAGUGAGGAAAGUGUUGCUGUCGAGGCGAACUGGUAGCUGUGUUUUAGCGCAUGUUUCCUGAGGCCAGCCAGAGAUCAUCAGGGGCUGCAAAAACGACUCAGCUCAGCGUCACCUGUACAUGCAAAAUUCUUCCUGCCUACUGCCACAAUGUCUUCGGUGGAAGAGCUGCGAGAGGAGGUUGUGCGUGAAAUGCACACUCUGUCCAAAGAUCAACUAGUGUCAAUCUGCGAGUUCCUUGGCAUUGCAGAGAAAAUAGAUGUUAGCAGAAAAACACGACUGUCACUGCUAACACACAUCCAAAUACACAUUGAGAGAGAAGGUAUAACAGUACUUGAGGAUGAAGGAAUGUCUGAACUGUUGUUGCUUAAUGAUAAGAUUGCUGAAAUAAUGAAAGAGACAAUUGUUGAGACUGAACCAAAUGCAAAUGAAGAGGGUGAUUCAGGACACAGAGAGCAACCAAAUACUUCAACCUCACUGGUAACAGAGACAGCUAAUGCAGUUAACACAGCAAUUAUUUCUCACUCCCAAGGUAAUCGCUUUGUCCCUAACUCAUCUGUGUCAAGUACCCCCCAACGACCAAGCCCUUACUGGCAGAAAGAUUUCAAAAUAUCAGGCCAGAUUGGCGAACCAGGUCAAAAAGACAAACUGACAUUUUCCAGUCUUGCUCACCAGAUCGAAAAUGGACUGAGCAGAGGUUACUCAGAGCUUGACAUUGUAGAUGCUGUCAUCAGAGCUAUCUUGCCAGGUCUACAACUACGCAGCUAUUUGGAGGGAAAAGCUCAACUCACCCUUCCGACUCUACGCCGCAUACUGCGCUCCCAUUUCCAGGAGAAGAGCGCCACCGAACUGUAUAAACAACUUGCCUCUGAGGUACAGACCCCAAAAGAGACUGCUCAAAGCUUCCUGAUGAGAGUUUUAGAUCUAAAGCAGAAAGUCUUAUUUGCUUCCCAAGAAUCUGAGUCAGGACUCAAAUACGACCCAGCUUUAGUUCAGCGUAUGUGUUUGCACACCAUACUCACAGGCUUCCAGAGUGACAGUGUCAGGAUAGAUAUGCAGCCACUCCUGUUAGACUCUAAGACACCUGAUGAACUCCUGUUAGAGAGGUUAAAUAUGGCUUGUGCCAAUGAGGCAGAAAGGAAAAACAAGAAGAGAUGUUUAGCAUCACAGACUGCUACAAGUGUGAGUGCAGUGCAGUCAGAUGAUGUGUCACCAGCUAAGAACCCUGUGAAAGAAGUUAAAGCUAAGAUACCACCCGAGCUUUUAACUGAGUUAGCGGAGCUUAAGACAGGUGUAGCCUCCCUGAAAGGUCUCAGUGCAGAGAUAGCUCAGAUUAAAGAGACUCUACAGCAGCCGGUGGCUGGUCCUCAGUCAUAUGGCCCACCACCAGUUAUGCAGUAUGAUAGGGACCAGCAGUAUUAUAGCUUCCAGGGCCCCCGUCAAAGGCCACCACCCCCUCAGUAUCCUGUACAGCACUACACAGGUAGUCCAGC
ensembl:lncRNA